rnacentral:lncRNA from 1 species
AUGAAAAAUCAAAGAAAUAAACGAAAAAUAAACAACUGGACAUCCUACUCGCAACAUUCUUGUGGAUCGAGCUCUGGAUCUUGGUACUCUUGAUCUGAAAUGGUUAAUGAAAGAGUGAGGUACAUUAGCCCAGUAAGAAUAUCACACCACUUACUCACACAGAAAUAAAAGUUAGUAAAAAUCAUGAAAACAACUAAUGGAGCUCUUAAUUUAAGUAAAUUCGUUUACCAUAAAUAAAAUCAUUUACCGGAUACUUACCAUAACGAGAUUUUC